ensembl:snRNA U1 U1 spliceosomal RNA
AUACUUACCUGGCAGGGGAGAUACCAUGAUGACGAAGGUGGUUCACCCAGGGCAAAGCUCAGCCAUUGCACUGCAGUUGUGCUGACCCCUGUGAAUUCCCUAAAUGCGGGAAUCUCAACUGCAUAAUUUGUGGUAGUGGAGGACUGCGUUCGUGCUCUCCCCUC